GACGUAGGGCGCGAGCGUUGUCCGGAUUUAUUGGGCGUAAAGAGCUCGUAGGCGGCUUGUCGCGUCGUCCGUGAAAACCUGCGGCUCAACUGCAGGCUGGCGGUCGAUACGGGCAGACUAGAGGUAGGCAGGGGAGAGCGGAACUCCUGGUGUAGCGGUGGAAUGCGCAGAUAUCAGGAGGAACACCGGUGGCGAAGGCGGCAUCCUGGACCGGCAUUGACGCUGAGGCGCGAAAGCCAGGGGAGCAAACGGG
rnacentral:rRNA from 1 species